AAAGAAAGUAAACGAAGGGCGUAUGGAGGAUGCCUAGGCUCUCAGAGGCGAAGAAGGACGUGCUAAGCUGCGAAAAGCCACGGGGAUCGGCAAAAGCGAACGGAUCCGUGGAUAUCCGAAUGGGGCAACCCGGUUAGUUGAAGACUAACCGCCGCAAGGCGCCAACCCGGAGAACUGAAACAUCUAAGUACCCGGAGGAAAAGAAAACAAAAGUGAUUCCCCAAGUAGUGGCGAGCGAACGGGGAAAAGCCCAAACCGAAGGGGUUACGGCCCCUUUGGGGUAGAAGGACUACCAAAUCUGGCGGGGCAGAAAUUGAAUCACGUGGGAAAGUGAGCCACAGAAGGUGAGAGCCCUGUAAAUGUAAUCAACCGUCAGGAGGUAGCAUCCUGAGUAGGCGGGAGCCGGUGAAACUCCCGUUGAAACCGCCGGCACCAUCCGGCAAGGCUAAAUACUCCUGAGAGACCGAUAGUGAACCAGUACCGUGAGGGAAAGGUGAAAAGGACCCUAAAUCAGGGAGUGAAAAGAACCUGAAACCAUACGCUUACAAGCGGUCGGAGCGUCUUCGUGACGUGACGGCGUGCCUUUUGCAUAAUGAGCCUACGAGUUGUCUUUACUGGCAAGGUUAAGCUAUACAGUAGUGGAGCCGGAGCGAAAGCGAGUCUGAAGAGGGCGUUUGAGUCAGUGGAGGCAGACGCGAAACUUGGUGAUCUACCCUUGGCCAGGUUGAAGAAGGAGUAACAUCCUUUGGAGGACCGAACCAGUAUCCGUUGAAAAGGAUUUGGAUGAGCUGAGGGUCGGAGUGAAAGGCUAAUCAAACUGAGAAAUAGCUCGUACUCCCCGAAAUGCUUUUAGGAGCAGCCUUGGGAAGAGUCUGCCGGAGGUAGAGCUACUGAUAGGACUAGGGGGCUUCGCAGCCUACCAAAUUCUGCCAAACUCCGAAUGCCGGUAGAUAUGCCCAGGAGUGAGGGCUUGGGUGCUAAGGUCCAAGUCCGAGAGGGAAAGAACCCAGACCAUCGGCUAAGGUCUCCAAAUGUUGACUAAGUUGAACAAAGGAAGUCUUGCUGCCGGGACAGCCAGGAUGUUAGCUUGGAAGCAGCUAUUCAUUUAAAGAGUGCGUAACAGCUCACUGGUCGAGCGGCAGGGCGUCAAUAAUAAACGGGCAUCAAGUCAACUACCGAAGCUGUGGUAGUGAAAACUAGGUAGGGGAGCAUUCUUAUAGCGGCGAAGGUAUCUUGUAAGAGAGGCUGGAGCGAUAAGAAAAGCAAAUGUAGGCAUAAGUAACGAUAAAGCGGGUGAAAAACCCGCUCACCGAAAAGCCAAGGAUUCCUGAACAACGUUAAUCGGAUCAGGGUUAGUCGGGUGCUAAGGCAAAGCCGAAAGGCGCAGCUAAUGCUAAAUCGGUUAAUAUUCCGAUACCUGCUUGUACUAAAAAGGGGACGGACUCUUUGCGAAACCGCGUACGGACGAAAGCGUACGUUAAACCUUCGGGGAUAGUACCACAAACCUUCGGGUGCGUGGAUAGUGUUUCAGGAAGGGUUCCAAGAAAAGCCGAAACAAGCAGCCCGUACCGUAAACCGACACAGGUGGCUGGGGUGAAUAUCCUAAGGUGCUCGAGUGAAUCGCGGCUAAGGAACUCGGCAAAAUAGUCCUGUAACUUCGGGAGAAGGGACGCCUACCCUGCAAAGGGAGGCCGCAGUGCAUAGGCCCAGGCGACUGUUUAUCAAAAACACAGGGCAUUGCAAAGUUGAAAGACGACGUAUAAUGCCUGACACCUGCCCGGUGCUGGAAGGUUAAGGGGGGAUGUUAGCCGCAAGGCGAAGCAUUGAACCGAAGCCCCAGUAAACGGCGGCCGUAACUAUAACGGUCCUAAGGUAGCGAAAUUCCUUGUCGGGUAAGUUCCGACCUGCACGAAUGGUGUAACGAUCUGGGCACUGUCUCAGCCGCGAGCUCGGUGAAAUUGUAGUAGCGGUGAAGAUGCCGCUUACCCGCAACGGGACGGAAAGACCCCGUGCACCUUUACUAUAACUUAGCAUUGUUUUCGGGUACUUGAUGUGUAGGAUAGGCGGGAGGCGAUGAAGUGGUGUCGCCAGGCAUCAGGGAGCCAACCUUGAAAUACCGCCCUUCGGGUAGUUGGAAACUAACCUCAUCAGGGACAGUGCUUGGUGGGUAGUUUGACUGGGGUGGUCGCCUCCAAAAAAGUAACGGAGGCUUCCAAAGGUGUCCUCAGCACGCUUGGUAACCGUGCGUGGAGUGCAAUAGCAUAAGGACGCUUGACUGUGAGACCGACAAGUCGAUCAGGUAGGAAACUAGGGUAUAGUGAUCCGGUGGUUCUCUAUGGAAGGGCCAUCGCUCAAAGGAUAAAAGGUACGCCGGGGAUAACAGGCUGAUCUCCCCCGAGAGCUCAUAUCGACGGGGAGGUUUGGCACCUCGAUGUCGGCUCGUCACAUCCUGGAGCUGGAGAAGGUUCCAAGGGUUGGGCUGUUCGCCCAUUAAAGUGGCACGCGAGCUGGGUUCAGAACGUCGUGAGACAGUUCGGUCCCUAUCUGUUGUGGGCGCAGGAGAUUUGCGGGGGGCUGACCUUAGUACGAGAGGACCGGGUUGGACGAACCGCUGGUGUGUCAGUUGUGCCGUCAGGUGCACGGCUGAGUAGCUAUGUUCGGAAGAGAUAAGCGCUGAAAGCAUCUAAGCGCGAAACUCGCCCCAAGAUGAGAUCUCCACGAGGGUUGUUCUAGAUCAGGACGUAGAUAGGAUGCAGGUAUAAAGUCAGAGAUGGCUGAGCUGAGCAUUACUAAUUACCCGAAAACUUUCAGCC
rnacentral:rRNA from 1 species